rnacentral:rRNA from 1 species
GACAGAGGUGCCGAGCGUUAGGCGGAAUCACUGGGCUUAAAGCGUGUGUAGGCGGGUCCGUAAGUACCUUGUGAAAUCCCACGGCUCAACCGUGGAACUGCUUGGUAUACUGCGGGUCUUGAGCCACCUAGGGGCAAGCGGAACAAGCGGUGGAGCGGUGAAAUGCGUAGAUAUCAGGAAGAACACCCGUGGCGAAGGCGGCUCUCUGGGCCGGUACUGACGCUGAGGAGCGAAAGCGUGGGGAGCAAACAGG